rnacentral:rRNA from 1 species
GACGUAGGGCGCGAGCGUUGUCCGGAUUUAUUGGGCGUAAAGAGCUCGUAGGCGGCUUGUCGCGUCGACCGUGAAAACUUGGGGCUCAACCCCAAGCCUGCGGUCGAUACGGGCAGGCUCGAGUUCGGUAGGGGAGAUCGGAAUUCCUGGUGUAGCGGUGAAAUGCGCAGAUAUCUGGAGGAACACCGGUGGCGAAGGCGGCAUCCUGGACCGGCAUUGACGCUGAGGCGCGAAAGCCAGGGGAGCAAAGCGGG